rnacentral:piRNA from 1 species
AGACAAUUGAGCAUUUCUCACUGUCAGA